rnacentral:rRNA from 1 species
UACGAAGGGGGCUAGCGUUGUUCGGAAUUACUGGGCGUAAAGCGUGCGCAGGCGGCUUCUCAAGUCAGGGGUGAAAGCCCAGAGCUCAACUCUGGAAUUGCCUUUGAGACUGAGUGGCUUGAGUACGGGAGAGGUGAGUGGAAUUCCCAGUGUAGAGGUGAAAUUCGUAGAUAUUGGGAAGAACACCGGUGGCGAAGGCGGCUCACUGGCUCGUAACUGACGCUCAUGCACGACAGCGUGGGGAUCAAACAGG